rnacentral:rRNA from 1 species
UCCUACGGGACGCAGCAGUGAGGAAUAUUGGUCAAUGGGCGGAAGCCUGAACCAGCCAAGUCGCGUGAGUGAAGAAGUAAUUCGUUACGUAAAGCUCUAUCAGCAGGGAAGAAAAUGACGGUACCUGACUAAGAAGCCCCGGCUAACUACGUGCCAGCAGCCGCGGUAAUACGUAGGGGGCAAGCGUUAUCCGGAAUUACUGGGUGUAAAGGGAGCGCAGACGGCAGUGCAAGUCUGGAGUGAAAGCCCGUGGCUUAACUACGGGACUGCUCUGGAAACUGUGCAGCUAGAGUGCAGGAGGGGCG